rnacentral:misc_RNA from 1 species
GUGAGUCAUCGAAUCUUUGAACGCACAUUGCGCCCCUUGGCAUUCCGGGGGGCACACCUGUUCGAGCGCCAUUUCGACCCUCAAGCAUAGCUUGGUGUUGGGCGCGGUCCCCGACGUAUGUCACUGCAGGACCCGCCCGUAACUCGUAGGCGGCCGCCGCCCGCGCCCCCAGCGUAGCAAGCUCACGCGUUCGCUCGGGGACGGCGCGCCCGGCCCGCCCCUAAACACUUCUCCGUUUGGCCUCGGAUCAGGUGGGGAUACCCGCUGAACUUAAGCAUAUCAAUAAGCGGAGGA